AAGAUCAUACUUCACAGGAUCAUUUCUGUAGUAUAUCUUCGGAUCUGCUCUGCGAAAAGCUGAGCUGAUGCAGCCACGAAGAUGAGAUAUAGCUCUCUUCCUUGAGCGUGAGAAAGACUUACAAUCUAACUAUUUAGUUCGGUUGUAGUCAUCGAUGAUCGUUCACUCUUCUUACUCAGUAGGAAGGGCCAUGGGAAGUAGAGCUUUCUGAGUGGU